AUUGAACGCUGGCGGCAGGCCUAACACAUGCAAGUCGAACGAGUGGCGGACGGGUGAGUAAUGUCUGGGAAACUGCCUGAUGGAGGGGGAUAACUACUGGAAACGGUAUCUAAUACCGCAUACCAUCAGAGGUGCCCAGCGGGGAUUGGCUUGUUGGUGGGGUAACGGCUCACAAAGGAGACGAUCCCUAGCUGGUCUGAGAGGAUGACCAGCAAAACUGGAACUGAGAAACGGUCCAGACUCCUACGGGAGGCAGCAGUGGGGAAUAUUGCAAAAUGGGCGCAAGCCUGAUGCAGCCAUGCCGGGUGUAGGAAGAAGGCCUUCGGGUUGUAAAGUACUUUCAGCGGGGAGGCGUUACCCGCAGAAGAAGCACCGGCUAACUCCGUGCCAGCAGCCGCGGUAAUAC
rnacentral:rRNA from 1 species